UAGGGAAUCUUCGGCAAUGGGGGGAACCCUGACCGAGCAACGCCGCGUGAGUGAAGAAGGUUUUCGGAUCGUAAAGCUCUGUUGUUAAGGAAGAACGAGUGUGAGAAUGGAAAGUUCAUGCUGUGACGGUACUUAACCAGAAAGGGACGGCUAACUACGUGCCAGCAGCCGCGGUAAUACGUAGGUCCCGAGCGUUGUCCGGAUUUAUUGGGCGUAAAGCGAGCGCAGGCGGUUAGAAAAGUCUGAAGUGAAAGGCAGUGGCUCAACCAUUGUAGGCUUUGGAAACUGUUUAACUUGAGUGCAGAAGGGGAGAGUGGAAUUCCAUGUGUAGCGGUGAAAUGCGUAGAUAUAUGGAGGAACACCAGUGGCGAAGGCGACUCUCUGAUCUGUAACUGACGCUGAGGCUCGAAAGCGUGGGUAGCAAACAGG
rnacentral:rRNA from 1 species